rnacentral:rRNA from 1 species
AGCAGCCGCGGUAAUUCCAGCUCCAAUAGCGUAUAUUAAAGUUGUUGCAGUUAAAAAAGCUCGUAGUUGAAUUUCGGGGUUCUUCCGUUGGUCAGGCUAACAAGUCUGUACUAGCGUGUAGAAUUCCUACCUUCUGGGGAACCAUCAUGUUAUUAAUUUAGCAUGGUGGGAAACCAGGACCUUUACCUUGAAAAAAUUAGAGUGUUCAAAGCAAGCUUACGUCUGAAUACAUUAGCAUGGAAUAAUAAAAUAGGACGGUGGUCCUGUUUUGUUGGUUUCUGAAUCACCGUAAUGAUUAAUAGGGAUAGUUGGGGGCAUUAGUAUUCAAUUGUCAGAGGUGAAAUUCUUGGAUUUAUUGAAGACUAACUUCUGCGAAAGCAUUUGCCAAGGAUGUUUUCAUUAAUCAAGAACGAAAGUUAGGGGAUCGAAGACGAUCAGAUACCGUCGUAGUCUUAACCAUAAACUAUGCCGACUAGGGAUCGGACGAUGUUAAAUUUUAUUG